CACUGCCCCGGAGGCCCCUCGAAGCAAGACCAUCCGGAGAGCUGCCAGGGUUGGUCUUUCCAAAAAUCGCUGAGGAGUCAACUGGCGCAAACUGGGAGACGCUCCUCUGCUCCGGCGGCAGGCGUAGAUCAUCCGCCAGGGCACCCGAGGCUCUCUCUGCCCCUGAACCAACCUGGAAGCCCGAAGGAAAUGGAUCAAGAAAAUAUUUCUCCUCCGGGAAAUCCUGGUAUUGCAUCUCCAUCACACAUUCGGCCCCCAUAUCCAAGAAGGGACUAUUGGAGAACGGAGGGAGAAGUCCCACCAGUGAAUAUCUUUGCCAGCGCCCCGUCCAACAGAAACCUAGAGAAGUUCCAGGUAAUUGAAGGCAAGAUGGCAAGAAAACUUAUUUCUAAAGAACCACAGAGUGUUAAAGGCCAUCGAUCAAGGGCAGGGAACCUGGUCUUACUUGAUGACGUUGGACUCAAAUCUCCCAUCAGUCGCACAGCAAUGUCUGUGGUCAGGAAUUAUGGGUGUUGUCACUUGGAGGGACUCAGCUUCCCCAUCCCUGCCACAGUGUGCUGUUAUACCGUAGUACAUUUUGUGUUUUCCAUGUGGGCUGUUUCUCCACCUUCUGUAUAUAAAUGCCAAAAUCCUGUUGGCAAAUGUAGGGGCCCCGUGGCCAAAGUACUCUGGGUUUGUUUGCCCCGAUUAUCUCUGGAUUGCGGUUAUGCAAGCGGGAGAGCACUCGUUUGGAAACCGAUUUUCACCUGAGCAGGGGUUUAAAUGGGUUCCCUGCUAUGAAAGUGGUGGGGAAAGAGGAACCACGCACACAGAAGGGUCCAUUCUCUGCGUGUGGUUCAUCACCAAUAGGAUACCGGCGAAAAUGACCCAGUUUCCUAAGAGCCCUAAAGAUUAGCUCAAGCAUUAGAUGUAAGUUAAAACACUGCCGAGUUGCAUCGUGACAUUUCUGUAUCUCUCUCCUCGUGAUCUAUUUUGAUUGAAGAACCUGGACUGCAAGACCACACACUCCAACCUGGAAGUGGUGGAAAACUCCACCUUCGUAUUCCUGGCAACCAAACCCCAUGUCCUCCCUGCAGUCCUGCAAGAAAUAGCACCGGCCGUCCACUCCCACCACGUUGUCAUCUCCAUGGCGGCAGGCGUCACCCUCCAGACCCCUGCAACUAGAGCCCCCACAGCGUCUAUAAGUACAUGCUUCCCCAGUUUUUCAGAGGAGGGAUGUCUGUAAGUGUGGGCCAAACCACCUGUGCAGAAAGAAGAGGUUGUAGCACAUUGGGAGAGCACAUGAUCUGUAUACCGAACGACCUGCUUUCAAUUCCUGCCAUUUCCAGCUUUGGAAAAUGAAGUGUUUAAUAGGGGAUAGGGUUAAUGUCCUUUUCUGUAGAAGACCUUGCGGAGCUGAUGGUGGUCAGCCGUGAGCGUACUGAGCUUGACGGACCAACAGUGCCGCUUGGAAUAAGAGGGCCGCUUAAUAGGAUGGCUUUAUCCCAAGUCCCCUCGCUCAUCAUGAAUUGUUUCCUGAAUAGAUGCAAGCCCACAUCUAGUCUAGUUUUUCAAAAUAAUGGAGCCACCUUAGAGAUGCUGAUUGGCUAAUUGUGCUAUUCACCUGAGUCCUGAUAAAAUGCUGAUGGCGCUCAGAGGAUGCUAUCUGCACAUUUAUAAUUGGGUUACUUAAGGUUUUGCUUAAGCCGCCUAGAGUGGUCUUAAUCAACUAGAUAAGCGGGAUAUAAAAUAAAUAAAUAAAUAAAUAAACA
ensembl:lncRNA